AUUGAACGCUGGCGGUAUGCUUAACACAUGCAAGUCGAACGGAAACGAAACUAGCUUGCUAGUAGGCGUCGAGUGGCGGACGGGUGAGUAACGCGUAGGAAUCUGCCUGAUAGUGGGGGAUAGCCCGAAGAAAUUCGGAUUAAUACCGCAUAAUCUAUUCGUAGUAAAGUGGGGGACUUUCGAGCCUCACGCUAUCAGAUGAGCCUGCGUAAGAUUAGCUUGUUGGUAGGGUAAAAGCCUACCAAGGCAACGAUCUUUAGCUGGUCUGAGAGGAUGAUCAGCCACAUCGGGACUGAGACACGGCCCGAACUCCUACGGGAGGCAGCAGUGGGGAAUAUUGGACAAUGGGGGCAACCCUGAUCCAGCAAUACCGCGUGUGUGAAGAAGGCCUGAGGGUUGUAAAGCACUUUCAAUUGUGAAGAAAAGUUAACGGUUAAUAACCGUUGACCUUGACGUUAACUUUAGAAGAAGCACCGGCUAACUCCGUG
rnacentral:rRNA from 1 species